rfam:Ipomoea nil DNA, scaffold: scaffold0307, cultivar: Tokyo-kokei standard.
GUCGCUGUAGUAUAGUGGUGAGUAUCCCCGCCUGUCACGCGGGAGACCCGGGUUCAAUCCCCGGCAACGGCG